rnacentral:miRNA from 1 species
GUGUGCGUGCGUGCGUGUGUGUGUGUGUGUGUGUGUGUGUGUGUCCCUUUCCACCCGCAGCACUCAUUCACAACGUGCUCCACAGG